rnacentral:lncRNA from 1 species
AGGCGUGGGGGUGGUGCUGGCCAAGUUCAUUCAUUACUUCAUUGAAACUGAACAUGCUCAGCUGGAAAAGCAAGACGGAGUGGCUUUGACUCAUUUCCUCUGAAAGAUGUGGUCAUCUCGAGAAACAGAACGAUCAAAAUAGAAAACACACAGAACCUUCGCAGCUACUCGACUCUCAAGAGUAUUUAAAUUUUUAAAUAGCUUCUAAACAGUCUCUCUUAAAAAAAAAAGAAAAGAAAAAGAAAACUUUUGAAACAUGGCAGA